rnacentral:rRNA from 1 species
UACGUAGGGGGCAAGCGUUGUCCGGAUUUAUUGGACGUAAAGAGCGUGUAGGCGGCUUUACAGGUCCGUUGUGAAAACUCGAGGCUCAACCUCGAGACGCCGGUGGAAACCGUAAAGCUAGAGUCCGGAAGAGGAGAGUGGAAUUCCUGGUGUAGCGGUGAAAUGCGCAGAUAUCAGGAGGAACACCCGUGGCGAAAGCGGCUCUCUGGGACGGUACUGACGCUGAGACGCGAAAGCGUGGGGAGCAAACAGG